GCCAGGCCCAGUGGUGCAGGCCUGUAAUCCAGCAACUUGGGAGGCUGAGGCAGGAGGAUUGCAAGUUCAAAAUCAGCCUCAGCAAAAGUGUGGUGUUGAACAACUCAGUGAGACCCUGAAUCUA
rnacentral:sRNA from 1 species